AGCUUUGUGCAGUGACAGUAUUAUAGCCAAGGAGGCUUAUCCAAGUUACAAUUACUGUGAAUUGAAAAUUUUUCUCACUACUUCACCGUGAUGACUUGAAAUAUAGUCAGCACUGGCAAUUUUUGACAGUCUCUACGAUGA
ensembl:snRNA U4 U4 spliceosomal RNA